rnacentral:rRNA from 1 species
UGUUUGUGCGUUUUGGGUGUACUUUUUCGUAUGGUAGGCCAACGUCAGUUUCGAUUAUCAUAAAAUGACCGGCGGAAUGUAGCUUCGAUUUCGGUUGAAGUGUUAUAGCCUCUGGUAGAUGUGGUGAUUGAGACUGAGGAUUGCAACGAAUACCCUUUGGGCUAUCCGUCUGGCCUCUGAAAGUUGCUCAGGUGCCGAAAGCGUGCUUACGGUCAUCUAAGAUAACGUUCAACAGGUUAGAACGUGAUUACAUUCGUUAAGGAUGUUGACGUA